rnacentral:rRNA from 1 species
AUACGAAGGUCCCAAGCGUUAUUCGGAAUCACUGGGCGUAAAGAGUACGUAGGCGGUUUGGUAAGUCAGGUGUGAAAUCCCGAAGCUCAACUUCGGAACUGCAUCCGAUACUGCCAGACUAGAGUAAUGGAGAGGCAGGUGGAAUUCUCGGUGUAGCAGUGAAAUGCGUGGAUAUCGAGAGGAAGACCAAUGGCGAAGGCAGCCUGCUGGACAUUUACUGACGCUGAGGUACGAAGGCUAGGGGAGCGAAAGGAAUUAGAAACCCCAGUAGUCC